AGUGAACGCUGGCGGUAGGCCUAACACAUGCAAGUAGAACGGCAGCACAGUAAGAGCUUGCUCUUACGGGUGGCGAGUGGCGGACGGGUGAGGAAUACAUCGGAAUCUACUUUUUCGUGGGGGAUAACGUAGGGAAACUUACGCUAAUACCGCAUACGACCUACGGGUGAAAGCAGGGGAUCUUCGGACCUUGCGCGAUUGAAUGAGCCGAUGUCGGAUUAGCUAGUUGGCGGGGUAAAGGCCUACCAAGGCGACGAUCCGUAGCUGGUCUGAGAGGAUGAUCAGCCACACUGGAACUGAGACACGGUCCAGACUCCUACGGGAGGCAGCAGUGGGGAAUAUUGGACAAUGGGCGCAAGCCUGAUCCAGCCAUACCGCGUGGGUGAAGAAGGCCUUCGGGUUGUAAAGCCCUUUUGUUGGGAAAGAAAAGCAGCAGGUUAAUACCCCGCUGUUCUGACGGUACCCAAAGAAUAAGCACCGGCUAACUUCGUG
rnacentral:rRNA from 1 species